AGGUCCCUUCACAAUCUGAUGGUAAUACAGGGGCUCCAUUUCCUGAGAGAUUAUUUCCAGGAGUAUAUGUUGCUCAUCUCUUCACCAUGAAACAAUAAUAAACUGAGGCAAAUGAGAAACUCUGUUACAUAGAUUACAACCGCUCAGUACCACCACUUCCCCCUGAAAUGUGUCAACUCCUUGGAGAAAUGGCUAAUUCAUGACUGCAGAAGGAAAACUAGAACUUCUUGACACACCAGGAAGCAAGGAGUUUUCCUGAUGUCUGGCCUAAUUAAAUGUGAUUGGAUUCUCAUCUUGGCCACUGCAUUCAAUCUGUUGCAAUAUAUUCUAUUUAAGGUAUCACAAUCUGCAAGUCUCAAAAUGAACAUUUACCUUAUUCCCCAAACUCUAUUUAUAUUACUAAUAUUCAUGAAGUACAAUGCAAAAUCUUGAUUCAUCAUUAUGCAAACAACCCCUCAAAUCCUUGUCUCUGAAGGUUUUUAUCUGUUAAGCAUCUCAAGACUUCAGGAAUUUCCACUCUUUUUAAGGUAAUGUCACUCCCACUCCCACCUGAUGCUAU